AGCUUAAAGAAAUAAAUUUUAAGUUUUAUCUGCCCUGUGAGUUUUUAACGGCUGCGGUACCUUGACCGUACUAAGGUAGCAUAAUCAAUUGGCUUUUAAAUGGAGUCUGGAAUGAAUGGGAAAUUGGGGUUUAACUUUCUUAAAUAAAUUUUAUUGAAUUUACUAUAAAAGUGAAAAAGCUUUUUGUUGAAAAAAGACGAGAAGACCCUUGGAGUUUUAAUAUUUUUGUUGGGGCGACAUUAAAAAUUCAACUUUUAUAAUUCUAAACAUCAACUUUUAGUAAUUAUUUAUAAACUACCCAAGGGAUAACAGCAUAAUUCUUUUGAGAUUGUGACCUCGAUGUUGGACUAGGAAAAACAAUAACUAGCAGUUAUUGUUUUAUGUUCUGUUCGAACAGUUAUACCUC
rnacentral:rRNA from 2 species